ACUAUUUUGGCAGAUUAGUGCAGUAAAUUUAGAAUUUAUUAAUGUAACUUCGGUUACAAAUAGUA
rnacentral:tRNA from 1 species